rnacentral:lncRNA from 1 species
UGAUUUUCAGACCCUGCCAACUGAUACUUCUAUAAGAUCCAAAACCUGCUAGAGUGUUCCACAACACCAAUGUCCAAGUCAAUACCAUAUAUUAUCCAUUGAAAUGUCCAAUUUAAUAUCAUCUGCAGAAACAUUAGAGUAAUGUGCUCUCCUUUACCCAAAUUGUGUACCACAGAACAUUAAGAACAUUAGGGGAGGAUUUGUUGAAACUAUUUUAGAUCAUGCACCAAAAAAUUGUAGUUCUCCUAAAUCAGGAAGAAAUAGGUCAAAAUUCACAACAAUCGUAUAGAAAUUUCUGCAAUCAAUAUCAUACCUGAUCCAUGUAUGGCAGCCUCUAAAUAAGCAACAUAAGUCCACAGUCCAUAAAAAGUAGGAUACGCUCCAAUUUGAUGUAUCAUGCAAUUUUGCAAUACUCGAAUAAUUUUAUAAAGCAUACUGAUACUGCAUUGGAGGGCUAUAAACUUCAUUAAUCUGAAAAUAUGUAGACUGCAGUUGAUACUGUAACUUAGUGACACAACACAUGGUAUGAUAGCUACAGGAGAGGCU